AUGGUCCUUUAUGUUAUGGGGUACUGUUUCUAGGUAACUUCCUUAUUCACAUUACAUUACCUGUGUUU
rnacentral:tRNA from 11 species